AGCGUGAUGGCCGAGUGGUUAAGGCGUUGGACUUAAGUUCGAAUGGACAUAAGUCGUCGUGGGUUCAAACUCCACACCCGCUA
rnacentral:tRNA from 1 species